UACGUAGGGUGCGAGCGUUGUCCGGAUUUAUUGGGCGUAAAGAGCGUGUAGGCGGCCAGGUAGGUCGGUUGUGAAAACUGGAGGCUCAACCUUCAGAGGUCGACCGAAACCAUCUGGCUAGAGUCCGGGAGAGGAGAGUGGAAUUCCUGGUGUAGCGGUGAAAUGCGCAGAUAUCAGGAAGAACACCCGUGGCGAAAGCGGCUCUCUGGAACGGUACUGACGCUGAGACGCGAAAGCGUGGGGAGCGAACAGG
rnacentral:rRNA from 1 species